AGUGAACGCUGGCGGUAGGCCUAACACAUGCAAGUCGAACGGCAGCACAGUAAGCGCUUGCUCUUACGGGUGGCGAGUGGCGGACGGGUGAGGAAUACAUCGGAAUCUACUUUUUCGUGGGUGAUAACGUAGGGAAACUUACGCUAAUACCGCAUACGACCUACGGGUGAAAGCAGGGGAUCUUCGGACCUUGCGCGAUUGAAUGAGCCGAUGUCGGAUUAGCUAGUUGGCGGGGUAAAGGCCCACCAAGGCGACGAUCCGUAGCUGGUCUGAGAGGAUGAUCAGCCACACUGGAACUGAGACACGGUCCAGACUCCUACGGGAGGCAGCAGUGGGGAAUAUUGGACAAUGGGCGCAAGCCUGAUCCAGCCAUACCGCGUGGGUGAAGAAGGCCUUCGGGUUGUAAAGCCCUUUUGUUGGGAAAGAAAAGCAGCAGGUUAAUACCCCGCUGUUCUGACGGUACCCAAAGAAUAAGCACCGGCUAACUUCGUG
rnacentral:rRNA from 1 species